UACGAAGGGCGCAAGCGUUACUCGGAAUUACUGGGCGUAAAGCGUGCGUAGGUGGUUGUUUAAGUCUGUCGUGAAAUCCCCGGGCUCAACCUGGGAAUGGCGAUGGAUACUGGCGAGCUAGAGUGUGUCAGAGGAUGGUGGAAUUCCCGGUGUAGCGGUGAAAUGCGUAGAGAUCGGGAGGAACAUCAGUGGCGAAGGCGGCCAUCUGGGACAACACUGACGCUGAAGCACGAAAGCGUGGGGAGCAAACAGG
rnacentral:rRNA from 1 species